rnacentral:rRNA from 1 species
GACGUAGGGGGCGAGCGUUGUCCGGAUUUACUGGGCGUAAAGCGCGCGCAGGCGGCCCGUUAAGUCGAAUGUGAAAACCUGGGGCUCAACCCCAGGCCUGCAUCCGAUACUGGCGGGCUUGAGGCAGGUAGGGGAGAGCGGAAUUCCCGGUGUAGCGGUGAAAUGCGUAGAUAUCAGGAGGAAUACCGGUGGCGAAAGCGACUCUCUGGACGGCAACUGACGCUGAGGCACGAAAGCGUGGGGAGCAAACAGG